GAUUGAACGCUGGCGGCGUGCCUAACNCAUGCAAGUCGAACGCGAAAACCCCGCAAGGGGUUAGUAGAGUGGCAAACGGGUGAGUAACGCGUGGGUGACCUACCUCAGAGUGGGGGAUAACCUUCCGAAAGGAGGGCUAAUACCGCAUGACAUACCGUGGUUGGAUACACGGAUAUCAAAGCCGGGGAUCGCAAGACCUGGCGCUUGGAGAGGGGCCCGCGUCCGAUUAGCUAGUUGGUGAGGCACGGCUCACCAAGGCGACGAUCGGUAUCCGGCCUGAGAGGGCGGACGGACACACUGGGACUGAGACACGGCCCAGACUCCUACGGGAGGCAGCAGUGGGGAAUUGUUCGCAAUGGGCGCAAGCCUGACGACGC
rnacentral:rRNA from 1 species